GACGAACGCUGGCGGCGUGCUUAACACAUGCAAGUCGAACGGAAAGGCCCUGCUUUUGUGGGGUGCUCGAGUGGCGAACGGGUGAGUAACACGUGAGUAACCUGCCCUUGACUUUGGGAUAACUUCAGGAAACUGGGGCUAAUACCGGAUAGGAGCUCCUGCUGCAUGGUGGGGGUUGGAAAGUUUCGGCGGUUGGGGAUGGACUCGCGGCUUAUCAGCUUGUUGGUGGGGUAGUGGCUUACCAAGGCUUUGACGGGUAGCCGGGCUGAGAGGGUGACCGGCCACAUUGGGACGGAGAUACGGCCCAGCCUCCUACGGGAGGCAGCAGUGGGGAAUAUUGCACAAUGGGCGGAAGCCUGAUGCAGCAACGCCGCGUGCGGGAUGACGGCCUUCGGGUUGUAAACCGCUUUCGCCUGUGACGAAGCGUGAGUGACGGUAAUGGGUAAAGAAGCACCGGCUAACUACGUG
rnacentral:rRNA from 1 species